rnacentral:rRNA from 1 species
GAUGAACGCUAGCUACAGGCUUAACACAUGCAAGUCGAGGGGUAACGAGAGGAAAGCUUGCUUUCCUUGUCGACGACCGGCGCACGGGUGAGUAACGCGUAUCCAACCUGCCCCCAACUAGGGAAUAACCUUGCGAAAGUAAGACUAAUACCCUAUAAUUUCCUCAGAUGUCAUCUGACGAGGAAUAAAGAUUUAUCGGUUGUGGAUGGGGAUGCGUCUGAUUAGCUUGUUGGCGGGGUAACGGCCCACCAAGGCAACGAUCAGUAGGGGUUCUGAGAGGAAGGUCCCCCACAUUGGAACUGAGACACGGUCCAAACUACUACGGGAGGCAGCAAUGAGGAAUAUUGGUCAAUGGGCGGAAGCCUGAACCAGCCAAGUAGCGUGCAGGAUGACGGCCCUAUGGGUUGUAAACUGCUUUUAUACAGGAAUAAAGUUAGCCACGUGUGGUUAUUUGUAGGUACUGUAUGAAUAAGGACCGGCUAAUUCCGUGCCAGCAGCCGCAGUAA